UCAAGCUAUGAUGUCCAACUUGCCCUAUCUGAGAACUGUGUUCGAUUGUGAGACCUUCACUGUACUCAUAUUAUCUGAGCUUGA